GUGUAAGGAAGGGAUUCAGUUUCAGCUUUCUACAUAUGGCUAGCCAUGGAAUGUUCUUCCAUUUGUUUGUGUCUUCUUUUAUUUCAUUGAGCAGUGGUUUGUAGUUCUCCUUGAAGAGGUCCUUCACAUCCCUUGUAAGUUGGAUUCCUAGGUAUUUUAUUCUCUUUGAAGUGAUUGUGAAUGGGAGUCCACUCAUCAUUUGGCUCUCUGUUUGUCUGUUAUUGGUGUAUAAGAAUGCUUGUGAUUUUUGCACAUUGAUUUUGUAUCCUGAGACUUUGCUGAAGUUGCUUAUCAGCUUAAGGAGAUUUUGGGCUGAGACAAUGGGGUUUUCUAGAUAUACAAUCAUGUCAUCUGCAAACAGGGACAAUUUGACUUCCUCUUUUCCUAAUUGAAUGCUCUUUCUUUCCUUCUCCUGCCUGAUUGCCCUGGCCAGAACUUCCUACACUAUGUUGAAUAGGAGUGGUGAGAGAGGGCAUCCCUGUCUUGUGCCAGUUUUCAAAGGGAAUGCUUCCAGUUUUUGCCCAUUCAGUAUGAUACUGGCUGUGGGUUUGUCAUAGAUAGCUCUUAUUAUUUUGAGAUAUGUCCCAUCAAUACCUAAUUUAUUGAGAGUUUUUAGCAUGAAGA
rnacentral:lncRNA from 1 species